AUGACCUGUCUCCGCAUGGGGGCGGGUGGAAAGGUGCCCUUCGGGGUUUCCGGUCGGGGGUGGGCUCGCGGCCUAUCAGCUUGUUGGUGGGGUAGCGGCCUACCAAGGCGACGACGGGUAGCCGGCCUGAGAGGGCGACCGGCCACACUGGGACUGAGACACGGCCCAGACUCCUACGGGAGGCAGCAGUGGGGAAUAUUGCGCAAUGGGCGAAAGCCUGACGCAGCGACGCCGCGUGGGGGAUGAAGGCCUUCGGGUUGUAAACCUCUUUCGGCAGGGACGAAGGUGACGUGUACCUGCGGAAGAAGCGCCGGCUAACUACGUGCCAGCAGCCGCGGUAAUACGUAGGGCGCGAGCGUUGUCCGGAAUUAUUGGGCGUAAAGAGCUCGUAGGCGGCUGG
rnacentral:rRNA from 1 species